rnacentral:rRNA from 1 species
GAAUGCUGACAUAAGUAACGAUAAAGCGGGUGAAAAGCCCGCUCGCCGGAAGACCAAGGGUUCCUGUCCAACGUUAAUCGGGGCAGGGUGAGUCGACCCCUAAGGCGAGGCCGAAAGGCGUAGUCGAUGGGAAACGGGUUAAUAUUCCCGUACUUGGUGUUACUGCGAAGGGGGGACGGAGAAGGCUAUGUUGGCCGGGCGACGGUUGUCCCGGUUUAAGCGUGUAGGUGUGUGUUCCAGGUAAAUCCGGUUCACUUUAACACUGAGGCGUGAUGACGAGGCACCACGGUGCUGAAGCAACAAAUGCCCUGCUUCCAGGAAAAGCCUCUAAGCCUCAGGUAACAUCAAAUCGUACCCCAAACCGACACAGGUGGUCAGGUAGAGAAUACCAAGGCGCUUGAGAGAACUCGGGUGAAGGAACUAGGCAAAAUGGUGCCGUAACUUCGGGAGAAGGCACGCUGACACGUAGGUGAAGUGGUUUACCCAUGGAGCUGAAGUCAGUCGAAGAUACCAGCUGGCUGCAACUGUUUAUUAAAAACACAGCACUGUGCAAACACGAAAGUGGACGUAUACGGUGUGACGCCUGCCCGGUGCCGGAAGGUUAAUUGAUGGGGUCAGCGCAAGCGAAGCUCCUGAUCGAAGCCCCGGUAAACGGCGGCCGUAACUAUAACGGUCCUAAGGUAGCGAAAUUCCUUGUCGGGUAAGUUCCGACCUGCACGAAUGGCGUAAUGAUGGCCAGGCUGUCUCCACCCGGGACUCAGUGAAAUUGAACUCGCUGUGAAGAUGCAGUGUACCCGCGGCAAGACGGAAAGACCCCGUGAACCUUUACUAUAGCUUGACACUGAACACUGGUCCUUGAUGUGCAGGAUAGGUGGGAGGCUUUGAAGUGUGGACGCCAGUCUGCAUGGAGCCAUCCUUGAAAUACCACCCUUUAAUGGCUGGUGUUCUAACGUGGGCCCGUGAACCGGGUUGCGGACAGUGUCUGGUGGGUAGUUUGACUGGGGCGGUCUCCUCCUAAAGAGUAACGGAGGAGCACGAAGGUUGGCUAAUCCUGGUCGGACAUCAGGAGGUUAGUGCAAUGGCAUAAGCCAGCUUGACUGCGAGCGUGACGGCGCGAGCAGGUGCGAAAGCAGGUCAUAGUGAUCCGGUGGUUCUGAAUGGAAGGGCCAUCGCUCAACGGAUAAAAGGUACUCCGGGGAUAACAGGCUGAUACCGCCCAAGAGUUCAUAUCGACGGCGGUGUUUGGCACCUCGAUGUCGGCUCAUCACAUCCUGGGGCUGAAGUAGGUCCCAAGGGUAUGGCUGUUCGCCAUUUAAAGUGGUACGCGAGCUGGGUUUAGAACGUCGUGAGACAGUUCGGUCCCUAUCUGCCGUGGGCGCUGGAAGAUUGAGGGGGGCUGCUCCUAGUACGAGAGGACCGGAGUGGACGCAUCACUGGUGUU